rnacentral:rRNA from 1 species
GGAUUGGGAGGGUUCUACGGAACCCGUUUGGUGAAUCUAGUGCCGAGAAAAGCCUUCUAUGUGUUGAAUUUCUAGUACCCGUACCCCGAACCGACACAGGUGGGUGGGUAGAGCAUACCUAGGGGCGCGUGAUAACUCUCUCUAAGGAACUCGGCAAAAUGGCCCUGUAACUUCGAGAUAAGGGGUGCCUGCGUGAGCAGGCCGCAGUGAAAUGGCUCUGGCGACUGUUUACCAAAAACACAGGUCUCUGCUAAGUCGUAAGACGAUGUAUAGGGGCUGACUCCUGCCCAGUGCCGGAAGGUUAAGGAAGUUGGUUAGCGCAAGCGAAGCUGGCGACCGAAGCCCCGGUGAACGGCGGCCGUAACAAUAACGGUCCUAAGGUAGCGAAAUUCCUUGUCGGGUAAGUUCCGACCCGCACGAAAGGAGUAACGAUCAGAGCGCUGUCUCGGAGAGAGACACGGCGAAAUAGGAUUGUCCGUGAAGAUACGGACUACCUGCACCCGGACAGAAAGACCCUAUGAAGCUUUACUGUAACUUGGAAUUGUGUUCGGACUUUGUCUGCGCAGAAUAGGUGGGAGGCUAUGAAACGUUCCUCGCGGGGAACUGGAGCCAUCGUUGAGAUACCACUCUGGCAGAGUCUGGAUUCUAACCUACGGGGACAGUUCCAGGUGGGCAGUUUGACUGGGGCGGUCGCCUCCUAAAAUGUAACGGAGGCGCGCAAAGGUUCCCUCAGGCUGGUUGGAAAUCAGCCAUAGAGUGUAAAAGCAUAAGGGAGCUUGACUGUGAGACCUACAAGUCGAGCAGGGACGAAAGUCGGCUUUAGUGAUCCGACGGCACUGAGUGGAAGGGCCGUCGCUCAACGGAUAAAAGUUACUCUAAGGAUAACAGGCUGAUCUCCCCCAAGAGUUCACAUCGACGGGGAGGUUUGGCACCUCGAUGUCGGCUCGUCGCAACCUGGGGCGGUAGUACGUCCCAAGGGUUGGGCUGUUCGCCCAUUAAAGCGGCACGUGAGCUGGGUUCAGAACGUCGUGAGACAGUUCGGUCCAUAUCCGGUGUAGGCGUAGGAGCAUUGAAAGGAUCUCUCCUUAGUACGAGAGGACCGGGAGGGACGUACCUCUGGUGUACCUGUUAUCGUGCCAACGGUAAACGCAGGGUAGCCAUGUACGGAGUGGAUAACCGCUGAAAGCAUCUAAGUGGGAAGCCCACCUUAAGAUGAGUGCUCCCUUGAGGCCACGGGAAGACGACCCGUUUGAUAGGCGCUAGGUGGAAGUGCAGUAAUGCAUGCAGCCGAGGCGUACUAAUAGGCCGAUGGCUUGU